GAGAAAUGAUAAUUGCUCCGGUUUCUUAAGACAUCUUUUAAGGAGUGGAGAGAAAACCCAAACUAUACAAGAAGACAUGGAGGAAACAAACACAUAUUGAAUGUACUCAGCAGUCACCCCACAAGCUUGACUCUGCAGUCAUGACCCACCAGGGAACACUGCCCAGCUGCCUGGGUGAGCAGCACUGCAAAGGGGACCUUGGCCAUCUGGAAUGAGCCACCUCCCAGCUAUAUGUCUUUGGCAAGGGAACACCUCCUGGAGAAGGCAGCUGCACCCAAGUCUCAGGCUCUGCUUUCAGGGGAACCCAGUCAAGACACACAUCCAGGAGGCCAGGUCCUGGGGUAGACCCUCAGGAUGCUACUUCUCACAACAGCU